GAUGAACGCUAGCUACAGGCUUAGCACAUGCAAGUCGCGGGGCAGCAUGGGGGUUGCUUGCAAUCCCCGAUGGCGACCGGCGCACGGGUGAGUAACGCGUAUCCAACCUGCCCUUCACCACGGGAUAACCCGGCGAAAGUCGGACUAAUACCGUAUGUUGUCCAUUGACGGCAUCCGAUUUGGACGAAAGGUUUGGCGGUGAAGGAUGGGGAUGCGUCCGAUUAGCUGGACGGCGGGGUGACGGCCCACCGUGGCGACGAUCGGUAGGGGUUCUGAGAGGAAGGUCCCCCACACUGGAACUGAGACACGGUCCAGACUCCUACGGGAGGCAGCAGUGAGGAAUAUUGGUCAAUGGGCGUAAGCCUGAACCAGCCAAGUAGCGUGCAGGAUGACGGCCCUAUGGGUUGUAAACUGCUUUUAUGCGGGGAUAAAGUGGCCCACGUGUGGGUUUUUGCAGGUACCGCAUGAAUAAGGACCGGCUAAUUCCGUG
rnacentral:rRNA from 1 species